UCAAAGCAGGAAAAGAAGAAAAGCAUAAAGCAAGAGGUUUCACUUGAAUUUUGUCAAGAAAACAAAGACUCGUCCAAAAUUUUCUUUACAUCCUGUUGGUCAAAAAUAGUUUGAACUGGCAGCUCUAACUGCACGAAAGGUUGGAAGGAGUUUAAGAGUGACCACAAUUGAGAAAAAGAACAAGGAACUGGGCAAAGUUCAGAGAUGAGCAAAAGCACUAGUUUUCAUGAAGAGUUACACACAGAAUUAAUUAUGGCCUUUUAUGAAUCAAUAAUAUGCUUGCCUAUGUUCAAUCAGGAUCACAUGAUGACUGUGCUACCUCCAUCCGUCACAUCUUUAUUCAAUCAGGAAAAGAGAGAAGAGAGGUCAUAGCAACCAUGUCUAUCCAUCUUAGUAACAAUUUAGUUUUCUGGCCUGGCGCGGUGGCUCAGGCCUGUAAUCCCAGAACUUUGGGAGGCCGAGGCGGGUGGAUCACCUGAGAUCAGGAGUUCGAGACCAGCCUGAUCAACAUGGUGAAACCCCUGUCUCUACUAAAAAUACAAAAAUUAGCCAGGCAUGGUGGCGCAUGCCUGUAAUCCCAGCUACUUGGGAGGCUGAGGUAGGAAAUCACUUGAACCCAGGAGGCAGAGGUUGCAGUGAGCUGAGACUGUGACACUGCACUCCAGCGGGGGCAAAAAGAGCAAAACUUCAUCUCAAAAAAAGAAUUUAGUUUUCUGGAGGCUACUCUCACAGACUUAUGCUUAGCAUCUGUUAUAAGGUGAAUUGUGUCCUCUUAAAAGUAACAGGUUAAAACCCUAACCCCCAGUACCUCAGAAUGUAACUCUAUUUGAAGAUAGAGGCAAUAAAGAGGUAAUUAUGGUUAAAUAAAGUCAUCUGGGUGGGCCUUCAUUCAAUCUGAGCUGUAUUCUUUAAAAAGAGGGAAAUUUGGACACGUACACAAGACACCAGAGAUAUUCACACACAGAGGAAAGACUAUGAGGGGAUGCAGGUAGAAGGCAGCCUUCUGCAAGUUAAGGAGAGAGACUUCAAAAUAAAACAAAAUAAAACCAACUCUACUGACACCUUGAUUUUGGACGUCCAGCCUCCAGAACUAUGAGAAAAUAAAUUUC
rnacentral:lncRNA from 10 species